GAACCUGCCUAAUAGGUUUUGCAUGUAUUUGAUUACGCCGCAUCUCUGCUUUCUAUGCACUGUGUGAACAAACAUUGUCAUGCAACUAGCAGAAGAGAGCAUAAGCAACGGAGAAUACUCAUAUCAGCUGUUUCUAUAUCGAAAGAGAAGGACGACUGAUGACGCCAUUCAACGGAGCACACCUUAACCAUACUAGAUAAAAACUAAAACUAUGCAUCAUUUAUGAUAUCUGUAGCGCCUGCGAUGAACAAUGUCUUUUUAAAAUAAAGAAAUUACUUAUUAAAAAUGGACUCGA